GUGGGGAAUAUUGGACAAUGGGCGAAAGCCUGAUCCAGCCAUGCCGCGUGAGUGAUGAAGGCCUUAGGGUUGUAAAGCUCUUUCAGUAGGGAAGAUAAUGACGGUACCUACAGAAGAAGCCCCGGCUAACUUCGUGCCAGCAGCCGCGGUAAUACGAAGGGGGCUAGCGUUGUUCGGAUUUACUGGGCGUAAAGCGCACGUAGGCGGAUUGGUCAGUUAGAGGUGAAAUCCUGGAGCUCAACUCCAGAACUGCCUUUAAUACUGCCAAUCUAGAGACCAGAAGAGGUGAGUGGAACUCCUAGUGUAGAGGUGGAAUUCGUAGAUAUUAGGAAGAACACCAGUGGCGAAGGCGGCUCACUGGUCUGGUACUGACGCUGAGGUGCGAAAGCGUGGGGAGCAAACAGGAUUAGAAACCCCUGUAGUCC
rnacentral:rRNA from 1 species